ACAUGCAAGUCGAGGGGUAGAGAAGGCUUGCUUUCUUGAGACCGGCGCACGGGUGCGUAACGCGUAUGCAACCUACCUUUAUCUGGGGGAUAGCCCGGAGAAAUCCGGAUUAAUACCGCAUAAAAUCACAGAAUAGCAUUAUUUAAUGAUCAAACAUUUAUGGGAUGAAGAUGGGCAUGCGUGUCAUUAGCUAGUUGGCGGGGUAACGGCCCACCAAGGCGACGAUGACUAGGGGAUCUGAGAGGAUGGCCCCCCACACUGGUACUGAGACACGGACCAGACUCCUACGGGAGGCAGCAGUAAGGAAUAUUGGUCAAUGGAGGCAACUCUGAACCAGCCAUGCCGCGUGCAGGAUGACUGCCCUAUGGGUUGUAAACUGCUUUUAUCCGGGAAUAAACCUACUUACGUGUAAGUAGCUGAACGUACCGGAGGAAUAAGGAUCGGCUAACUCCGUGCCAGCAGCCGCGGUAAUACGGAGGAUCCAAGCGUUAUCCGGAUUUAUUGGGUUUAAAGGGUGCGUAGGCGGCCUGUUAAGUCAGGGGUGAAAGACGGUAGCUCAACUAUCGCAGUGCCCUUGAUACUGAUGGGCUUGAAUGGACUAGAGGUAGGCGGAAUGAGACAAGUAGCGGUGAAAUGCAUAGAUAUGUCUCAGAACACCGAUUGCGAAGGCAGCUUACUAUGGUCUUAUUGACGCUGAGGCACGAAAGCGUGGGGAUCAAACAGGAUUAGAUACCCUGGUAGUCCACGCCCUAAACGAUGAACACUCGCUGUUGGCGAUACACAGUCAGCGGCUAAGCGAAAGCGUUAAGUGUUCCACCUGGGGAGUACGCCCGCAAGGGUGAAACUCAAAGGAUUUGACGGGGGCCCGCACAAGCGGAGGAGCAUGUGGUUUAAUUCGAUGAUACGCGAGGAACCUUACCCGGGCUUGAAAGUUAGUGAAUUAUCCAGAGAUGGAUAAGUGAGCAAUCACACGAAACUAGGUGCUGCAUGGCUGUCGUCAGCUCGUGCCGUGAGGUGUUGGGUUAAGUCCCGCAACGAGCGCAACCCCUAUGUUUAGUUGCCAGCACGUUAAGGUGGGGACUCUAAACAGACUGCCUGUGCAAACAGAGAGGAAGGAGGGGACGACGUCAAGUCAUCAUGGCCCUUACGUCCGGGGCUACACACGUGCUACAAUGGAUGGUACAGAGGGCAGCUACAUAGCAAUAUGAUGCGAAUCUCACAAAGCCAUUCACAGUUCGGAUUGGGGUCUGCAACUCGACCCCAUGAAGUUGGAUUCGCUAGUAAUCGCGUAUCAGCAAUGACGCGGUGAAUACGUUCCCGGGCCUUGUACACACCGCCCGUCAAGCCAUGGAAGUUGGGGGUACCUAAAGUAUGUAACCGCAAGGAGCGUCCUAGGG
rnacentral:rRNA from 1 species